rnacentral:tRNA from 1 species
GGUUCGGUGGUCUAGGGGUAUGAUUCUCGCUUAGGUUGCGAGAGGUCCCGGAUUUCAAAUCCCGGCCGAACCC